GUAUUUACUGGUAGCGAAAGUGUUAUCAGGCAUUGAGUGCAUUUGUGUUUCUAACAGCAUAGAUGCUAACUCCUGGUGGAUUCAAAUGUGAACCAGCUGAUGCACUCACAAAAAUCGACCCCUUCAUUCUUUUCAGGUAAGGCAUUGCAAAGUAAAUCGGACAGACUGAUUCCCAAAAGUUCACAUCCUGUACCAUUUGAAUUAAUGUCAAACUUGGUUGUGCGUGUAUGUGGGCAUAUAUACCAGAAUCUUAAAAAUUACGAUAACCGGCUCAAAUUCUGUAAUAUCAAUAGCAGUUUCAAUCAGGCACAUAGAAGCAAUUCCUGCAUUGUUGACGAGAUGGUCCACUACAAAGAGACUGAUUGGAUUUCUACUCGUAUUUGUAUCAUAAAAGGUAGACGUUGAAAGACUCAAAACCAGAUGGAAAAUGCAAUAAUAUACAGCAAGGAAGGCCGAAGAGAAAGGUGCCGAAGACAUGGAAAAUGCAUGCAUCAAACUGAAAUUGUUGGAGAUUGGAAUGUACAGUACCUCCCCAAUUCCUGAUGAUUCACCUGUGACAGUAGUUCCCUUGGAUGCUUUCAACUGAAAAAUAAUCAUAAAAAUCGUCAGGAUUUUUUAGAUGUAGGAAAAAAGGUAGGAGAGUCCAAAGGAACAUUAGGACGAGGAAUCAGACGAAUCAUCAAAAUAGAAAAACCAUAGCUGAGGAAGGAGCAAUGAGACUGUGGCUGGCUUGUGUGCCUCUUAGGUAUUGGAUUCAAAGCUGAACUGAUCUCCCACUUAUUACUCUUAUACCUUUGUCUUUAUACCUUUGUAUUGCUUACAAAAGUUGACAAACAAAUUGCUCCAUUGGUUUUAGGAGGAAAACAGAAAUGGAUAACAGAAAAAUGGAAGGCAUCAUGGCAGAGAAACCUAGCAGGUAAGUUAUUAUGUAUUAGAGUUCAAGUGAUUGUAAUCAGUUCAACGAUUAAUGAUGGUCCUUUUGCACUGAUGAAUAUCAGUUUAUGAGGGGAUGAUUCUGUAUCAAUAUAGCUUCAUGUGCCAGCAUCUUGGAGACGGCAUUAUUAAUUGAGUCCUAG
rnacentral:lncRNA from 1 species